rnacentral:rRNA from 1 species
AACGUAGGACACAAGCGUUAUCCGGAGUUACUGGGCGUAAAGGGCGUGUAGGCGGAUGUGUAAGUCUACUCUGAAAGCUUCUGGCUAAACUGGAAGAGGCGAGUGGAGACUGCAUGUCUAGAGUGAGGAAGAGGAAAGUGGAAUUCCGCGUGUAGUGGUGAAAUGCGUAGAGAUCGGAAAGAACACCAACGGCGAAAGCACUCUGCUGGGCCGACACUGACACUGAGAGACGAAAGCUAGGGGAGCGAAUGGG